AACGCGAAGAACCUUACCUGGGCUCGAAAUGUAGUGGAAUCGGGUGGAAACAUCCGCGUCUCGCAAGAGACUGCUAUAUAGGUGCUGCAUGGCUGUCGUCAGCUCGUGUCGUGAGAUGUUGGGUUAAGUCCCGCAACGAGCGCAACCCUUGUCCUAUGUUGCCAGCGGGUAAUGCCGGGGACUCGUAGGAGACUGCCGGGGUCAACUCGGAGGAAGGUGGGGACGACGUCAAGUCAUCAUGCCCCUUACGUCCAGGGCUGCACACAUGCUACAAUGGCCGGUACAAAGGGCUGCUAUCCCGCGAGGGUGAGCGAAUCCCAAAAAGCCGGUCUCAGUUCGGAUUGGAGUCUGCAACUCGACUCCAUGAAGUCGGAGUCGCUAGUAAUCCCGGAUCAGCAACGCCGGGGUGAAUACGUUCCCGGGCCUUGUACACACCGCUCGUC
rnacentral:rRNA from 1 species